AUACGUAGGUGGCGAGCGUUGUCCGGAAUUACUGGGUGUAAAGGGCGUGUAGGCGGGAUUGCAAGUCAGAUGUGAAACUCCGGGGCUUAACCUCGGCGCUGCAUCUGAAACUGUGAUUCUUGAGUGCUGGAGAGGAUAGUGGUAUUACUAGUGUAGCGGUGAAAUGCGUAGAUAUUAGGAGGAACACCAGUGGCGAAGGCGACUAUCUGGACAGUAACUGACGCUGAGGCGCGAAAGCGUGGGGAGCAAACAGGAUUAGAUCCCCUGGUAGUCCACGCCGUAAACGAUGGAUACUAGGUGUAGGAGGUGUCGACCCCUUCUGUGCCGGAGUUAACACAAUAAGUAUCCCACCUGGGGAGUACGGCCGCAAGGUUGA
rnacentral:rRNA from 1 species